rnacentral:rRNA from 1 species
UUUUAUAAUUAGAAAAGAAAUUUUUAACAAGCCCAAUCUCGUAUGAUCUCGGAAGCUAAGCAGGGUCGGGCCUGGUUAGUACUUGGAUGGGAGACCACCUAGGAAGACCAGGUGCUGUAGGCG